CCACGGCACAUCCCACACCCCGCUGCUGGGACACCCGGGGGCAGAUGUCUGCAGGGAAAACAUUUCUAAACCAGCCACUAACAGCAAAAUUUCCAAAGCGACAAGACCAACGCAGAGAGACAAUGUCCAUGCAGAGGAGGGGGGAGAGGAGGAGGUGCAGAAACCUAAUUAUUUGCUGUAACCUGCUAAUUUCAGCGUGUCACCUAAAUUCUCUUCAGCUGCUCAUGCGGCGUUUGCUUACGAGCCUGGCGCUCAGACAGGUGCUGUGGCUUUUAGUUGGACGCACUCGGCCCAAAUUCACCUGCUGCCAGCCUGCCUAAUGCCAAUGUAGCCACACCAGGGAGGAAUUUGAUCCAUUUUUACUCAAAAUUGGGGAAGAAAUGGCCCCACGCAGCCCCGGCACCUCCCACAGGCCCCCCCCAUGCUGCGCGUCUUCCUUCACCAAGAAUUCCACAGCCGUGAAAAACAGGAUUCAUUUCCUCCAGAAAAAAGGCAUUUCUGAAGAUGUUCUCGCUUGAAAUACUGGGAAAACCGAUUCUGAACACCUCCCAAAAUAAAAGAUUCCUUUUUUUAUCAUUAUUUUUUUUAGUUUAGGAGCAUUCAGUCCCAGUUUAUCGCUCCUGCCAUUAGUGCUACGCCUACAUUAUUUCGCUCCACGGCACGAGGACUCCUUUAUAACGUGACAUAACAGCUUAACUAUUCAAUUAUUGCAUAUUUUCUUAUUUUUUAAAAUCGUUAAGAGCAGCUGCUACUUAGUCCUGAUUGCAACCCCUUAUCUCCUUCCCCAGAUCAAAGGGGUGGCUGCUUGUGGUAAUGGAAACGGUUUGACACCUCGAUCAAAGCCUCUGCUGUUUGUGCUGUCGGAAAAGUGUUUGACACUUGUGUCAAAGCGUCAAACUAUUUCAUUACAGCGCCAACCGGAGACACUUUGACUACGGGAGAUAAGAUGUUUCAAUCAAUCAGCAUCCACAAAUGGCCUCCCCCCUAUGAUUAAAAAAAAUAAAAUAAAAUAAAAUAAUCAGGUGGUUCUGGCUGGAGUUUGCAAGGCGGCUGCGGGGUGUUGUUGCUGCUUGUGCGCAACGGAGCAGUGUAGUAAUGAGGGAUGGCACAAAAGCAAAUGCAAAAGCUGAGAAAAGAGAAUUUGAAACAAAAAUCCUGAAAGUUUAAUAAAAAAAUUAAAACAUGCCAUUUUUUGGAAGCGCUGAGACAUCCCACCUGUGCAAACCCAGGGCAGCAGCUGGGUGCUGCCGGGGCUCCCAGCAGAGCCACUGGGGAGAGGACGCACGGACCCAGCCCUGCCAUCACCACCACUUCCAGGGGAGGUGGCACUGGCAUCCCCAUAGAGCAAAAAGAUUUGCAAAAUUUAGUUAAAAAGGAAGAAAUCCAAUGUCAUCAGCUCCAUCUGCCCUGACAAACCCAUGUAGUGGCUGCUGGGGGUCAAAGAUGGGAAGGUGACGUGGGACCAGGGAUGGUGACGUGGGACCAGGGAUGCCUGGAGGCAGCCCCGGUGUCCCCACGCUGUGCUGUCCCACCAGUCCCACCCGUGUCAAUGCUGCCACCCUAAUGCCACCAGGGCCACCAGCUCCGAGCCUGGCUGGGAGUUAUGCACCGAGCAAGCACUGCUCGUUUCACCAAUUAAUUGCAUAUUGCCUCCGGCACAUUCACCACUCAUUUCCCUAAAUUCACUGGCUGGCACCCAAAAUGAACCAUAUUCCUCAGGCUCCACCAUUUGGGACUUGGACAAGGAGGGGGAAGGUGGCACAGCGGGGUCUGGCUGGGGCAGGAGAGCUGCGUGUGGGACGGGGAUGGGGACGGGGACGGGGACGGGGACAGCUUCUGCCCCAGUCUCUGGGGUGCGGCUGCAGGGCCUCUGCGCUCUCCUCCCUGCAAACUCCCCUUGCAAAAUUGGUUUUUAGCAAAGCCACUUAUCACCUUAACCAUCUAUCGAUCCCUUGACUCCCGGCCAGCUGCUCCCAGGAUCCGAUAGAGGAAAGGCAAAAAAACCACGGCUGCGAGGGAGAGCUCUGGGCAGCUCCGCUCCGGCCGCCCCUCACCUGGGGGAACUCUGCCUGGGCUGGGGGACACGAGCGGGUGAGGACUGGCACAGAUCACCCAUCUCGCUGCCACCUGGGCCCCUGGGCCAAGUCCUGCCCUCUGAGGCGGCUGCAGGCGGUCAAUAUAUCGAUGGGAAGCUCGGGCAGGCGGCCAGAGCCGGGUGCGUGCCCGAUCCCUGCGCCACUCCGGCUGCUGCUCAACCCCAAAUCUCACAGCAAACAAAACAAGAAGGCAGGAAAACCAAAGGAAACCAUUUGUGCUUUUGCCAGGAAAAUGGAAAAGGAGGAAGCUGGAGGAUUAUCCGUGGGGACCUCUGCGGAUGGAAACACAAGGGUUUGGAUAGCUCAAGAUUUGUUGCCUGGAUUUUAGAGCUGCUCCCCAGACACGUUCUCACCCGAGGGACGAUCACGACAGAGAAUAAAAACCAAAAUCACCUGAGCCCCAUUCUGCAGGAAAACAACCCUAUAUCCAUCACACUGCCUAACCCCAAGCCGUGCAGCCAAGAAAGCCACAAGGACUUCGAAAAGGACAAAAGGUCCCUUCCUUCUUCCCCCAGGGUGACAGCCACGCAGCAGAGGUGACGGAGCCACCGGGACGCGCUCAAGCACCAGCAGCAAGCCCAGCCCGGCUGGGAUGCACCCAACACCGAGCCGAGGAUAUCCGAGCACCCCAAAAUAUCACCGGGGGGUCUCAGAGACCCCUUCCCUCACCUGCUGGGGACAGGACACCCCGUGGGAAGAUGCAGCAGUGAAGGUGAGGAGCAGGCUGCAGAGCGCAGCCCCCGUGCGCUUCCCAGCAGCAUCGAUCUCCCCGCGGUAGCAGCCGGUAUAAUUUUGCUUGGCUUCAAAUACCUGGCGCUCAUGAAUUCUUUGGCCACAAGGUUAUAAAGCAUCCUCUAAAACAUGAGAAAAAGAUUAAGCCUGCUUAUAGUUAAUAAUAUACUGUAUACUGUCUAUCAAGCUGGCUGUUUGCUAUUGAGAGCCUACUAUUAGACACUUAUUUAAAAGGCCUUUCAAGGCUUCCGAAGAAAGUGCAGUUAUGCAUUUUUUUUUUUUUUUUCUGGCAAGAACUACUAUAGAUAAACAUCAAUUCGCUCCUGCAGAUCACAGUCGCAGUAAAUAAAUUUUUCAGGAAGCUAAGUUCCAUACAAAGCCUUCUCAAAGCUCCCAUUUCACACAACAUCAAUGUUUGGCCUCUGAGAAAUAAAAGCUCUGAGGUUGCUUUAUCCAAAGCUAAAUUAUCAAUUGUAGCUGCUUAAAAAAAAUAAAAUAAAUAAAAUAAAAUAGGGCAUUGCAAUGAGAAACCAGCGUGGGGACGGGAAGGAGACAACACCAUUUGUAGACAGCGUGGCCGUUCAGAGACAAAAUGGGGAAAGACAGCGAUUUUGCUGGCAAUUGAUCGGGUCUUUUGCCUCUGCGAAGGCUUCAGCAGCCCAAAACUUUUGGGUGAAGGGCGCUGCGGCCGUGCAGCGGGCGGC